GCCUAACACAUGCAAGUCGAACGGAACUUUUUUAAUUGAUUUCUUCGGAAUGAUUUUGAUUAAGUUUAGUGGCGGACGGGUGAGUAACGCGUGAGUAACCUGCCUCUGAGAGGGGAAUAACAUUCUGAAAAGAAUGCUAAUACCGCAUAACAUAUAUUUAUCGCAUGGUAGAUAUAUCAAAGAUUUAUCGCUCAAAGAUGGACUCGCGUCCGAUUAGUUAGUUGGUGAGGUAACGGCUCACCAAGACUACGAUCGGUAGCCGGACUGAGAGGUUGAACGGCCACAUUGGGACUGAGACACGGCCCAGACUCCUACGGGAGGCAGCAGUGGGGGAUAUUGCGCAAUGGGGGCAACCCUGACGCAGCAACGCCGCGUGAAGGAUGAAGGUCUUCGGAUUGUAAACUUCUUUUAUUAAGGACGAAUAAAGUGACGGUACUUAAUGAAUAAGCUCCGGCUAACUACGUGCCAGCCGCCGCGGUAA
rnacentral:rRNA from 1 species